GGAGUGCUGAGAUGUUUGUUGCUCAUUCAUAGUUUAUUAUUCAAUCGGAUGUGGUAAGCUUCGCGUUGGACAUGGAGAUUUGUUCCGCCGGGCAUUUGGGUAUUCAGCGAGCACGUGUAGGCGUUUUGAUGGAUAAUCGAGGGGGAGUCAUCUUAGCUGUAAGGAUGUGCUCCACUCACCGGAUGUUGGUCACUGUGAUGUUGCUCACACCGUAGGCCUGAAUGUUCCGGAAAAGUGCGCGGUAGCCAUCCGGACCACUACCCAACACUAUGCCGAUUUCAUCAAUCAUCACGGGUUCGAUCUGUCGGGGGAAAUAAGUUAUGUAGCCAUUAGGGUAAGAAUAAAACUAUCUUUAUGUGCAAAUUUUCAAAGUUCA